rnacentral:rRNA from 1 species
AGAUUGAACGCUGGCGGCAGGCCUAACACAUGCAAGUCGAGCGGCAGCACGGGUACUUGUACCUGGUGGCGAGCGGCGGACGGGUGAGUAAUGCCUAGGAAUCUGCCUGGUAGUGGGGGAUAACGCUCGGAAACGGACGCUAAUACCGCAUACGUCCUACGGGAGAAAGCAGGGGACCUUCGGGCCUUGCGCUAUCAGAUGAGCCUAGGUCGGAUUAGCUAGUUGGUGAGGUAAUGGCUCACCGAAGGCGACGAUCCGUAACUGGUCUGAGAGGAUGAUCAGUCACACUGGAACUGAGACACGGUCC